rnacentral:rRNA from 1 species
GAGUUUGAUCCUGGCUCAGGACGAACGCUGGCGGCGUGCUUAACACAUGCAAGUCGAGCGGUAAGGCCCCUUUUGGGGGGUACACGAGCGGCGAACGGGUGAGUAACACGUGGGUGACCUGCCUUCAGCUCUGGGAUAAGCCUGGGAAACUGGGUCUAAUACCGGAUAUGACCUUGGGACGCAUGUUUUGGGGUGGAAAGUUUUUUCGGCUGGAGAUGGGCCCGCGGCCUAUCAGCUAGUUGGUGAGGUAACGGCCCACCAAGGCGUCGACGGGUAGCUGGUCUGAGAGGAUGAUCAGCCACACUGGGACUGAGACACGGCCCAGACUCCUACGGGAGGCAGCAGUGGGGAAUCUUGCGCAAUGGGCGAAAGCCUGACGCAGCAACGCCGCGUGCGGGACGACGGCCCUCGGGUUGUAAACCGCUUUCAGCAGGAACGAUGAUGACGGUACCUGCAGAAGAAGCUCCGGCCAACUACGUGCCAGCAGCCGCGGUAAUACGUAGGGAGCAAGCGUUGUCCGGAUUUAUUGGGCGUAAAGAGCUCGUAGGCGGUUCGGUAAGUCGGGUGUGAAAACUCUGGGCUCAACCCGGAGAGGCCACUCGAUACUGCUGUGACUUGAGUCUGGUAGGGGAGCACGGAAUUCCUGGUGUAGCGGUGAAAUGCACAGAUAUCAGGAGGAACACCGGUGGCGAANGCGGUGCUCUGGGCCAGUACUGACGCUGAAGAGCGAAAGCGUGGGGAGCGAACAGGAUUAGAUACCCUGGUAGUCCACGCCGUAAACGUUGGGCACUANGUGUGGGGGGACGUCAACUCCCUCCGUGCCGUAACUAACGCAUNAAGUGCCCCGCCUGGGGAGUACGGCCNCANGCUNAAACUCAAAGGANUGACGGGGNCCNCACAACGGCGAAACAUGUGCUUAUUCNAUGCACGUGAAAACUUACUGGUUUGAAUGCGGNAAANCCNAAAAUUUGUGUCUACGGGCCUCCAAGUGGGCAUGCUUCCUCACUCUGUCUGAAUNUNGNUAAUCCCAC